rnacentral:rRNA from 1 species
UACGGGGGGUGCAAACGUUGCUCGGAAUUAUUGGGCGUAAAGCGCACGUAGGCGGUCUUGUAAGUCGGGUGUGAAAGCCCGGGGCUUAACCCCGGAAGUGCACUCGAAACUGCAAGGCUUGAGUAUGGAAGAGGGUCUCGGAAUUCCCGGUGUAGAGGUGAAAUUCGUAGAUAUCGGGAGGAACACCGGUGGCGAAGGCGGCGACCUGGGUUGACAUUGACGCUGAGGCGCGAAAGCGUGGGGAGCAAACAGG